UACGUAGGGUGCGAGCGUUGUCCGGAAUUAUUGGGCGUAAAGAGCUUGUAGGCGGUUUGUCGCGUCUGCCGUGAAAAUUCGAGGCUCAACCUCGAACUUGCGGUGGGUACGGGCAGACUAGAGUGUGGUAGGGGAGACUGGAAUUCCUGGUGUAGCGGUGAAAUGCGCAGAUAUCGGGAAGAACACCCGUGGCGAAGGCGGCUCUCUGGGACGGUACUGACGCUGAGACGCGAAAGCGUGGGGAGCGAACAGG
rnacentral:rRNA from 1 species